rnacentral:rRNA from 1 species
UGGGGAUAUUGCACAAUGGGGGAAACCCUGAUGCAGCCAUGCCGCGUGUGUGAAGAAGGCCUUCGGGUUGUAAAGCACUUUCAGUAGGGAGGAAAGGGUGAGUCUUAAUACGGCUCAUCUGUGACGUUACCUACAGAAGAAGGACCGGCUAACUCCGUGCCAGCAGCCGCGGUAAUACGGAGGGUCCGAGCGUUAAUCGGAAUUACUGGGCGUAAAGCGUGCGCAGGCGGUUUGUUAAGCGAGAUGUGAAAGCCCCGGGCUCAACCUGGGAAUUGCAUUUCGAACUGGCGAACUAGAGUCUUGUAGAGGGGGGUAGAAUUCCAGGUGUAGCGGUGAAAUGCGUAGAGAUCUGGAGGAAUACCGGUGGCGAAGGCGGCCCCCUGGACAAAGACUGACGCUCAGGCACGAAAGCGUGGGGAGCAAACAGGAUUAGAUACCCUGGUAGUCCACGCCGUAAACGAUGUCUACUCGGAGUUUGGUGUCUUGAACACUGGGCUCUCAAGCUAACGCAUUAAGUAGACCGCCUGGGGAGUACGGCCGCAAGGUUAAAACUCAAAUGAAUUGACGGGGCCC